CGGCCAGCCCUGGUUACCUGAGCCUCGGGUCAGCCCUGGGUGGCUGGGGGACUGAGAGGACUAGGGGAUUCCAGA